rnacentral:lncRNA from 1 species
UAGUAUGUCGUGUUAGAAUCGAAAUAACAAGUUCCCAAGUAUUUCUUAAAUCAUAGAAGAUGGAUGUCCGCUAAUACGUCGGACAGAUAUGUUGAUUACAGUUUUGAAAACAAGUUGCAGCUUUCUAAACUUCUAGGAAUGUAUAGAUGUUGAUAUACAUAAACUAUGAACGGUUUCUCGAGACGUUUUUUUAACUGAUAUUGGUUAAAUGAAUUGUUCAUAAAGGUUCGUUUUCUUUAGACAAUGCAUAUAUGUAAUGUGCAGAUAAGAUACAAAGUCUGAUUAUCUCGCUUUUACAAUAUGAUAGAAACCAUACCAUCAACUAUCUUUUUUUUUUUCAAUAUACUUAGGUUAUUGUUUCUUCGAGUUUUCAGCCUAUCCUACUUCUACAAUUUGUUGUCGUUGUUGUUGUUUAUCCAGGAAGUAUGCUUAGAAAAGAAAUACUUUAUUUUCGGACAAAUGCAGUGAGGGAGAAAAUAAAGUGUUAUAGUGUGAUCGGCUUAAUUUCUUGAAUUUUUCUAUUUCUGUCAGAUGUUUUUAAUUUCAAACUAUUGAAAAGUUACACGUACACUUUGCUGAAUUUGUUAUUUUCGAUUGAACAUUGGAAUGUUUUAACAUUAUUGAAAUUUUUCUUACUUUCAGGGAUGACAAACAACAACCAGUAUUCAUCAAAAGUUUCUCGAAAAUUGGUUUGCUUUUGGAAGAAAGUGUUAAAUGUGUUAGAGUAUAUAUUAAUAUAUUCAGACUGGAUUUAACUUUCAACACUUUAAUAUAAGUACAUAUAUCGAAGGAGUAUGAUUAAAAAUGAUAUCAAAUCUUGCAUGCACAUAGAUAUGGCAAGGAAAUAUAGCUAUUGGUGUUUAGAGUGGAUGCAAUUUUCAAGACAAUUUGAAAUUUACAUAUAGCAAUGGAAUGUUAUUAUUUGUGUGUUCAUUUCAUUCUAAUUAAUAUUUACUCAAACAUGAUUUGAUUUUCAUUACUAUCUGGAAUAUGAUUUUAUGAUAGGAGGAAAUAUAAUUAAUGGUAAGUAUGUUUUGCAAUCGGAUUUAUUUUUUAAUAAAUUGGAAGGAACAAAGACAUAGUGAAGGAUAGAUAUAUAUAGAAUGGUACAUAAUAUUUGAUAGGCACGUUUCAUUCUAAUUAUCAGCACGUAUUCAAAUCAAAUUUAGCGUUCAAGACAUUUGGAAUAUACAUAGUUAUAGGCAAGAAAUGUAAUAAUUACAAAUAUUCAAAUCGGAUUAAAAUUCAAUACAACUUGGAACAUACAUAGAUACAGUGCAGAAAUAUUAUUAUUGAUUCCAGAUGGCAUCAGAAACAGUUUACUAAUGUUACUUAUUUACGGUUGUGAAAUUAUUUGUACUAGAACGGAACCUUGGGAAGUUAUAAAGCAAUUGAUGUGUUUCUUGUUUAUUCAAAGGUGGAGAAAAACAAUCAUAUGCACGCCAUUUUUUUCAAAUGGCUAAAAGUGUACAACAAUCUGUUUCACCUGGCAAUUAUUUGCUAAGGAUCAGAAUUGAAAAUAUCCUAUAUUGGUUGGGGUUUUGGUAUUAAAUAUUACAUGAUUAGACUAUACACUUAAACAGGAUUAAUUUUUCAAUACAAUUAGGAAUAUACAUAUAGAGACGGAGUAUAAUAAUUUGUGAGAAGGUUUGGUGAUAAUAAUAAAUAUGUUUUCAAAUUUGAUUUAAUGUUUCAACGGGGUUUAAAAUAUACAUAGAUCUAGUGAAGGAAUGUUGUUAUUUGUGAGUAGGUUUUUUAAUAAUAUUUUUGUGAUAACAAAUUGGAUUUAAUUUUCAAUACAAUUUGGACACAAAGUGAAGGAAUAUAACUGUUGGUGAUAUUCAGGAUGGAUUUUAUUUUCAACACACUUUUAAAUAUACAAAGAUACAGUAAAGGAAUAUAAUUAAUGCUGAUUUUGUUUUAUUGUGAUCAUUUAAAUUCAAAGCGGAUUGCAUUUUCAACACAAUUUGGAACACACACACAGCAAAGAAAUAUAACUAUUUGUGAUAUUUCAAUCGGAUUUAAUUGUCAAUACAAUUCGGAAUAUUCAUACAUAUAGUGAAGGUAUAUUAUUAUUGACGAUGUCAAUAUUUAAUAAAGUUGGAUAGUGCAUAGCUAUAGGAAAGGAAUAUAAGUAUCGGUGAGUAAGUUUUAUUCUGAUUAUUGAUAUAAUACAUAUAAUAUGGUAUAAUUCUCAAAACUUUAGGAAUAAAAAUUGUUAAUAUCAAGGAAUAUAUUUAUCAAUGACCCUCAGUGCUGAUCAUUAUAUAAAUUAUAUCACAAAUAUAUCAUUUUCUAUGUAGUUAAUAGAAUUUAAGAUCAAAUAGGGAGAUUCUUCUCGGAAUAAUUACAUCAGGAAGGCUAAGAAUAUCAUCGUGGACUGACAGUAAAGGACAGGUCUUUCCUGAAAGUAAAAUAAGAUUCAUUUUUUGCAAAAGUAUGUACAGCAUUAGGAACAAUCAUGUUUUAACGGGUUAAAAUAAAUAUUUGUUCGGCUCUACUUUUAUUUAUGUAUGAACUUACAACAUUUGAUUUUAUUUUCGGCACUUGUAUAUUUUCGCUCAAGGAAAUCUGUCAGGUUUUAAGAUUGUAGGUACAUUGCACGUUUUAUUGAAUUCUAAUCAAUUUGAUCAUGUAAGUGGAUUAAGGCAUGUCCUGCCAUUCUAAUCAGAUAUAUUUAAAACAAUUUCUGUGAUAUGCUGAAUACGAAUUAGGUGUUGUAAACUUACAUAAAAAGCCUGUUCGGGCCUAAGUUAGAAAAUUGGCAUACUUGUCUUUAUCUAAUAAAACAAUAAGAUUUAGUAUAUUUUAAUCGAAACGGAAACAAAUAAUUAUUUUUGGUUUACCUGAAUAAUAACAUUUAUUAAACAGAAGGAAAAGAAAUAAACAAAGAUAAAUAACUUUAUUAAUCUUAUAUUGGCUACAAAACCCAAGAUGACAUACAAUUUAUAUAAAACAAUGUAUAUAGCAAAACAAUGGUGAGCAUUACAUUAUGCAUUUAUAUUAAAUUGGAAUUUAAAAUUCUGAGAAGGUCAGAAAUAACCAUGCGCAAAUUCUGUCCUCUGACGUUUUUUGCUACUGAUAAUAUUCGCGGCACUGUUUGAAGAUAA